GUGAAGUACAGAAGAACCUCAAGGAGAGGAACACCAGAGUCACAGACUUACCGGUCAACCGGACACGCUGUGGAACUGGAAGUUCAAGAGAAUAUAAUACUGUUCUUCAAUUGCUGUCCUAAUGUUACGUAUGGAACUCAUCUGUGCUCUUAAAGAGCUGCUGCACUCUACACCAGAGCUAGCUGCAUUUCCAUGACAGUGUCCACCAGAGAGCAGAAGGCUUGCUGUGGAUGGCUAAUGGAAUCCACCUAUUGUUAAAGUAAUCCUCUUCCAGCUACUGUCAUCAAGAGAGUGUGCAGCAUGAAUUUCCCCUUGAGCCAUGGGGGAAGAGCUUAUGGAAUAAAAGGCAAAGCCUGAUUUCCAUGGGGGUGAUCCUAUGCAGCUUUAGAUUAAUGAAUUGUGUUUAGAUUCCAGUGGCGCCAAUUCAUAGCAACCAAUAUAUUGUCUGUGGCAAGAACCCACAAUCAACAUUCCUGAAAAAGAUAAUCACUUAAGUAAAGUUAAAUCUGUAACAAUCGCAGAACAUAAACCACAAAAGAAUCACAUGGCAGACCAAGAUUCUUAAUUCAAGCAUUUUCAUCUUGCUACUGUAAGACUUUUGUAUUGAUACAGAAUAUGGCCAAACCCAUUAACACUCCACAUAAAAUGAUCACGUACUCACCUGUCCAAGAUCUAAAGUGACAUUCACUUCAUUAUACUGUAAGCCUAAAGAGAGAGGAGGACUUUGCCACCAGCGUUCAGUUCCAUCAAUAGCACUGGUUAUUGGGUGAGCUUUAUUGGGAUCAGCUGCAUUGCAGUAGUCACAAAACUGUCCCUGAAAGACAACAGAACAAAAGAUUUAUGCUCAGUUUGCUC